rnacentral:lncRNA from 1 species
UUAGACAAGUUAACAAAUAUAUAUAUGGUAGUCAUAAUAACUCGUUAAUGUUCUCUAGAGCAUUUACAUAUUUGGAUGGAAAUUUAUGAGAACAAUCAAAGAGAGGUUGAUGAGAAAACCAAGUGUUCAUCGAUUUCCAUUGAAAAUAAUCUCGACAAGUACAUAAAAGGCCCUAAGUAACAAAUUCAUAUAAGAGCCAAAUUUUUACGCUUUGGCCUAAAACUGAAAGUAACAAAUCCACUCAUGCCGCUGGAGCGUAAUCAUAGAUAAUGUCGUCAUCGUCGUCGCCGUUUUCUAUAAAUGCAACCUGAUGGUAUUCAAAUUCUCCAUUAUUGUAAGUAACAUCACCUCGGAUGCAUGUUUCACGAACUUGGUCACAUUUGCACAGAACAAACUUGUAAAUAGAAACCAUUGUAUUUUUUCGGUUAAUGAAGAAAAGAAAAUAGUUAACAAAGCAUAUGGGAAAAAGAAAGAGGUUUGUUAGGUUGGUGAAGGAACGAGAGAUCGUUGGGAUAUUUAUAUAUGAAACAAAACUCACAAAAGGUUAGAAAAGUUUUGGACUCAUUUUGUCUCGGG